AGUGGCCGUGGGUGGUGGGAGUGGGGACAGGCUUUUGUUCUGGGGUUAAACUUUAGCGUCUGAGGCCUGAGAGCGCUUUCAUGAGCUUUUAGGGUGAGACUUGCUGUUUCGUGAGUUUUUCAGGGUUUCUUCUUACGUGAUAGUUGUCAGUCACGCCCACCAGGGGGACCAAUAAAAUGCAAAAGUGAUAGGUCCUGGGGUCACCUUUCCCUUUGCGUCUUUACUCUGCCGUUUUCCUUCUUCCUCUUGGUGCUAGCGAUGUGGACUCAAGCAACCCAUUGUCCCAUAGCGAGCAUCAAAGAUAUCUAGGUGGGGCGAACGUCGCUUUUGCGUCAAGUUUGUUGGUUGUUACUAGCUCUCAUUAGCCCUUAGGUUUGCACAAAAGCAAAUGUUUAGUUCCCUUGGAGAGAGGGAGAGGGAGUGUUUGCAAAAAGGUCCCUCUGGGUGGUUUCCUUCUGUCCUCUACACUUGCCUCGGUGCACAGCAGGUGAGAUGUAGCUGGCGUGCUGUGCAUUCAAAUCAGCUCUCUCUUCCUUUGGUCUUGCUUUUUCUUAUUUAAAAAAAAAAAAAUUUAGUGCCCUCCUUGCCGGAAAUGCAGGCAAUCGCUCUACCAGUGAGCUCAGUGAGCUACACCCCAGCCCUCCCUCCCUCUCUCUCUUUUUAUAAAUGAAUAUUAUGAAAUGAAAGAAAUUCGGUAAAUUGCAUUUGCUUUCUAGGGAGAUUAUAUUUGUAUAUUUUAAUCUAGCUACUCUAUUGUGCUAAUCAAUAACAUGCACCCUGUAAUGAUUUAAUAAAUAUAAAUUUAUACCUAUUGAAUUAAGAACAAUGUAUAUGUGUGUGUGUGUGUGUGUAUGGCUUAUCUACUUAGUGUUUUUCUCCGCUCUGUAAAAUUCUUGAAAGAUUUUAAUUGACGAAUAAAAGUUGUAUGUUUACCAUGUACAACACAUAGUUUUGAAAUACAUGUAUGAUGUGAAAUGGCGAAAUCAAGCUAAUUAUCUUAUACAUUUCUUCACAUACUUAUCUUUUUUUGUGUGUGUGUGUUGAAAAUACCAAAUCUACUCAUUGAUUUUCAAGAAUACAAUACAUUGUUACUAACUCUAGUCACCCUGCUGGUCAAAAGAUCUUUUGAAUUUAUUACUUGAAACUGAAAAUUUGUUUUCUUCAAUUCUAUUUCCCAAACCCAUGGUAACCACCGUUCUGUUCUCUGAUUCCAUGACUUCAAUUUUUUGUUGUAUUCGACUUGUGAGAUCAUGCAGAAAUUUCUCUGUAAAUAUUUAGCAUGCUCAGAAGUUGCUGUUUUAUUCUUUCAAGGUUCUUGUUAUGGGAAUCACAUGUUAAUAUUAUCAAUAUUCUUGUUUGUAUUCAAUUUACUUAUCAUACAUACAUGGAGUUUCCAAUAGAUCCAUUGUGUGAUACUUAGUUCAUGGAUUUAUCUAUUAAGUUUGUAAAACCCUCUCACCUGAAUGUUAUUGAACAAUGUUUAAUAACAUGUUUAUAAUUAAUAAGCAAAAAUGGUUACUAAAUGAAUACAUUUUCUAUUUUAUGAAAAUAUAAAUGUUUAUAAAUAUGUAUAAGAAACAGAAUAAAAGAAUAUAUACUAAAAUAUUGAUACUGAUUAUAAUU
rnacentral:lncRNA from 1 species